AAGGUAGCAUAAUCAUUUGUCUUAUAAUAGAAGACUGGAAUGAAAGGAUUGACGGUGCUAAACCUUUCUAAAAAGAAUACAUUGAAAUUAAUAUUCACGUCAAAAAGUGUGACUCUCUAAAGGGACGAUAAGACCCUAUAAAGCUUUUAAUUGAAGCACUUAUUUUUAAUUAGGGACACUAAAAUAAGUAAUUAAUUUAACUGGGGCGGUAAUUAUAAAUUCCAUAAGAAAUAAAACAUUUAUUUAUGAAACAAUAGAUCUUAAUAAAGAGUUAGAAUAAGCUACUUUAGGGAUAACAGCAUAAUUUCUUAGUAUAGAUCCCAUAGAUUAAUAAGACUUAUGACCUCGAUGUUGAAUUGGGGGGCUUUCUUUAAGCAGGAGUAAAGAGAAGGGGUCUGUUCGACCUUUAAUACCCCACACGAUUUGA
rnacentral:rRNA from 1 species